GGAAUUUUGGGCAAUGGGGGCAACCCUGACGAAGCAACGCCGCGUGGAGGAUGAAGGCCUUCGGGUCGUAAACUCCUGUCGACCGGGACGAAAGCAGUCUGGCCUAAUACGCCGGGCUGUCGACUGUACCGGUGGAGGAAGCCACGGCUACAUCUGUGCCAGCAGCCGCGGUAAUACAGAGGUGGCAAGCGUUGUUCGGAAUUACUGGGCGUAAAGGGCGCGUAGGCGGUCUUGUAAGUUCCGUGUGAAAUCCCUCGGCUCAACUGAGGAACUGCACGGGAAACUGCAAGGCUUGAGUUCGGGAGAGGGAAGCGGAAUUCCGGGUGUAGCGGUGAAAUGCGUAGAUAUCCGGAGGAACACCGGUGGCGAAGGCGGCUUCCUGGACCGACACCGACGCUGAGGCGCGAAAGCUAGGGGAGCAAAC
rnacentral:rRNA from 1 species